UAUGCUAUGAUGAGAUGAAAACACGUAAAGUGUUGAUGGGCAGUGGAGUUGGAUCUUCUUAUUGGAAGGUCUGCCGUGAGCCCUCUUUUUUUAACGACUUCUCCUUCCACUGAGCUCU
rnacentral:snoRNA from 2 species